UUAAUACGAGUACUAUAGGGCGAAUUGGGCCCGACGUCGCAUGCUCCCGGCCGCCAUGGCCGCGGGAUUAUUACCGCGGCUGCUGGCACGUAGUUAGCCGGUGCUUAUUCUGCAGGUACCGUCAGUUUCGCAGGGUAUUAACCCGCGACGUUUCUUUCCUGCCAAAAGUGCUUUACAACCCGAAGGCCUUCAUCGCACACGCGGGAUGGCUGGAUCAGGGUUUCCCUCAUUGUCCAAAAUUCCCCACUGCUGCCUCCCGUAGGAAUCACUAGUGCGGCCGCCUGCAGGUCGACCAUAUGGGAGAGCUCCCAACGCGUUGGAUGCAUAGCUUGAGUAUUCUAUAGUGCACCUAAAUA
rnacentral:rRNA from 1 species